CAUUCAUUGAUUUAUUUACAAUUCCAGGCCAGUGAGCAUCCUUCCUGCAGACAGCACACGUUCAAAGCUCUGUCAAUAACAAUGACCCACCUUCUCCUCCCAAAUGAUUUGGAUCCCUCCUUCCUUCAGGUAAAUAACGUUACAUCCUUAUGGAGCAAUCACUACUUCCUGUACAUGUCUGACUUGUUCAACCACAGCAUGUUGAUGAAGGGAUGGAGGGAGUGAGGAUACUGUUCUGUGUGUGUGUGUUAGGGUGGUGAGGAUACUGUUCUGUGUGUUUGUGUUAGGGUGGAGGGGUGGUGAGGAUACUGUUCUGUGUGUUUGUGUUUGGGUGGUGAGGAUACUGUUCUGUGUGUUUGUGUUAGGGUGGUGAGGAUACUGUUCUGUGUGUUUGUGUUAGGGUGGAGGGGUGGUGAGGAUACUGUUCUGUGUGUUUGUGUUAGGGUGGAGGGGUGGUGAGGAUACUGUUCUGUGUGUUUGUGUUAGGGUGGUGAGGAUACUGUUCUGUGUGUUUGUGUUAGGGUGGAGGGGUGGUGAGGAUACUGUUCUGUGUGUUUGUGUUAGGGUGGAGGGGUGGUGAGGAUACUGUUCUGUGUGUUUGGGUGGUGAGGAUACUGUUCUGUGUGUUUGUGUUAGGGUGGAGGGGUGGUGAGGAUACUGUUCUGUGUGUUUGUGUUCGGGUGGUGAGGAUACUGUUCUGUGUGUGUGUGAGGGUAGUGAGGAUACUGUUCUGUGUGUUUGUGUUAGGGUGGUGGGGUGGUGAGGAUACUGUUCUGUGUGUUUGUGUUAGGGUGGUGAGGAUACUGUUCUGUGUGUUUGUGUUCGGGUGGUGAGGAUACUGUUCUGUGUGUGUGUGAGGGUAGUGAGGAUACUGUUCUGUGUGUUUGUGUUUGGGUGGUGAGGAUACUGUUCUGUGUGUUUGUGAGGGUGGUGAGGAUACUGUUCUGUGUGUGUGUGAGGGUAGUGAGGAUACUGUUCUGUGUGUUUGUGUUAGGGUGGUGAGGAUACUGUUCUGUGUGUUUGUGUUAGGGUGGUGAGGAUACUGUUCUGUGUGUUUGUGUUAGGGUGGUGAGGAUACUGUUCUGUGUGUUUGUGUUCGGGUGGUGAGGAUACUGUUCUGUGUGUGUGUGAGGGUAGUGAGGAUACUGUUCUGUGUGUUUGUGUUAGGGUGGUGAGGAUACUGUUCUGUGUGUUUGUGUUAGGGUGGAGGGGUGGUGAGGAUACUGUUCUGUGUGUGUGUGAGGGUAGUGAGGAUACUGUUCUGUGUGUUUGUGUUAGGGUGGAGGGGUGGUGAGGAUACUGUACUGUGUGUUUGUGUUAGGGUGGAGGGGUGGUGAGGAUACUGUUCUGUGUGUUUGUGUUAGGGUGGAGGGGUGGUGAGGAUACUGUUCUGUGUGUUUGUGUUAGGGUGGAGGGGUGGUGAGGAUACUGUUCUGUGUGUUUGUGUUAGGGUGGAGGGGUGGUGAGGAUACUGUUCUGUGUGUUUGUGUGAG